UGAACGCUGGCGGCGUGCCUAACACAUGCAAGUCGAACGAAGCACUUUCCCGAGGAAGAGGCGUGCUUGCACAAAUCGGACUCAAUUAAAGUGACUAGUGGCGGACGGGUGAGUAACGCGUGGGUAACCUGCCUUAUACAGGGGGAUAACAGUUAGAAAUGACUGCUAAUACCGCAUAAGCGCACGGUAUCGCAUGAUACAGUGUGAAAAGCGUAACGGUAUAAGAUGGACCCGCGUCUGAUUAGCCAGUUGGUGAGGUAACGGCUCACCAAAGCGACGAUCAGUAGCCGGCCUGAGAGGGUGAACGGCCACAUUGGGACUGAGACACGGCCCAAACUCCUACGGGAGGCAGCAGUGGGGGAUAUUGCACAAUGGGGGAAACCCUGAUGCCAGCGACGCCGCGUGAGUGAUGAAGUAUUUCGGUAUGUAAAGCUCUAUCAGCAGGGAAGAAAAUGACGGUACCUGACUAAGAAGCCCCGGCUAACUACGUGCCAGCCGCCGC
rnacentral:rRNA from 1 species